UACAGAGGGUGCGAGCGUUAAUCGGAUUUACUGGGCGUAAAGGGUGCGUAGGCGGCUCUAUGAGUGUGAUGUGAAAGCCCUGGGCUCAACCUAGGAAGUGCAUCGCAAACGAUAGAGCUGGAGUAUGUGAGAGGGUGGCGGAAUUUCCGGUGUAGCGGUGAAAUGCGUAGAUAUCGGAAGGAACGUCGAUGGCGAAGGCAGCCACCUGGCACAAUACUGACGCUGAGGCACGAAAGCGUGGGGAUCAAACAGG
rnacentral:rRNA from 3 species